rnacentral:rRNA from 1 species
CAGCAGCCACGGGAAUACGUGGGUGGCAAGCGUUGUCCGGAAUUAUUGGGCGUAAAGGGCUCGCAGGCGGUUUCUUAAGUCUGAUGUGAAAGCCCCCGGCUCAACCGGGGAGGGUCAUUGGAAACUGGGAAACUUGAGUGCAGAAGAGGAGAGUGGAAUUCCACGUGUAGCGGUGAAAUGCGUAGAGAUGUGGAGGAACACCAGUGGCGAAGGCGACUCUCUGGUCUGUAACUGACGCUGAGGAGCGAAAGCGUGGGGAGCGAACAGGAUUAGAUACCCCCGUAGUCCCUGUCUCUUAUAC